GACGAACGCUGGCGGCGUGCUUAACACAUGCAAGUCGAACGGAAAGGCCCUGCUUUUGUGGGGUGCUCGAGUGGCGAACGGGUGAGUAACACGUGAGUAACCUGCCCUUGACUUUGGGAUAACUUCAGGAAACUGGGGCUAAUACCGGAUAGGAGCUCCUGCUGCAUGGGGGGGGUUGGAAAGUUUCGGCGGUUGGGGAUGGACUCGCGGCUUAUCAGCUUGUUGGUGGGGUAGUGGCUUACCAAGGCUUUGACGGGUAGCCGGCCUGAGAGGGUGACCGGCCACAUUGGGCCUGAGAUACGGCCCAGACUCCUACGGGAGGCAGCAGUGGGGAAUAUUGCACAAUGGGCGGAAGCCUGAUGCAGCAACGCCGCGUGCGGGAUGACGGCCUUCGGGUUGUAAACCGCUUUCGCCUGCGACGAAGCGUGAGUGACGGUAAUGGGUAAAGAAGCACCGGCUAACUACGUG
rnacentral:rRNA from 1 species